rnacentral:rRNA from 1 species
UACGGAGGGUGCAAGCGUUGUCCGGAAUCAUUGGGCGUAAAGAGUUCGUAGGCGGUAUGUUAAGUCUGGUGUUAAAUGCAGAAGCUCAACUUCUGUUCGGCACUGGAUACUGGCAAACUAGAAUGCGGUAGAGGUAAAGGGAAUUCCUGGUGUAGCGGUGAAAUGCUUAGAUAUCAGGAGGAACAUCGGUGGCGUAAGCGCUUUACUGGGCCGUAAUUGACGCUGAGGAACGAAAGCCAGGGUAGCAAAUG